AAGACUAUACUUUCAGGGAUCAUUUCUAUAGUUUUUUUUUUUUUGAGAAAUGUGUUUCUAAGGAGUGGUUUCACUAUCCAUGAUGAAGAUGCAGAUGUUCCUUUCUGAGCAGGAAUCUGGUGGAAAGGUGUGGCUGUGUUCACUGUCCUACCACCAUUGAUGACUGUUCCAAGUUCUUGAAUGGAACUUGGACGAAAGGAUCAUGUUCUGAGUGGA